rnacentral:rRNA from 1 species
GUCUAUAGACACACCACCUGAAUCCAACUGAUCUCAUCUGAUCUCAGAAGCUAAGCAGGAUCAGGCCUGGCCGAUACAGAGA